rnacentral:rRNA from 1 species
UGGCCCUCGAGAGGGGGCACGUGCACGCUCUGUUUACGCAUCCACUCACACCUGUGCACCCUCUGUAGUUCUGUGGCCUUGGGGGCUCCGUCCUCUUGCCGUGGUCCUACGUCUUUACACACACGCCGUAACAAAGUCUCAUGGAAUGUAUGUCGCGUUUAACGCAAUACAAUACAACUUUCAGCAACGGAUCUCUUGGCUCUCGCAUCGAUGAAGAACGCAGCGAAAUGCGAUAAGUAAUGUGAAUUGCAGAAUUCAGUGAAUCAUCGAAUCUUUGAACGCACCUUGCGCCCUUUGGCUAUUCCGAAGGGCAUGCCUGUUUGAGUAUCAUGAACACCUCAACUCUCACGGUCCGCCGUGAUGAGCUUGGACUUUGGGGGUCUUGCCGGCCUAGCGUCGGCUCCUCUCAAAUGGAUCAGCCUGCCAGUGUUUGGUGGGAUCACAGGUGUGAUAACUAUCUACGCUUGUGGUUUCCUGCCAUGUAACCUUCAGCGAUGGGGGGUUCGCUGGAGCUCACAGAUGUCCCU